GCCCGGGUGGCGAAAUCGGUAGACGCAGCGGACUUAAAAUCCGCCGGGUUCACACCCUUGCCGGUUCAAGUCCGGCCCCGGGCACCA
rnacentral:tRNA from 2 species